AUAAUAACAGCUAUUUUUAAUUGUUAUCUAGUAUAUGUUUAGUGUUUGAUUUUGCACGCUGUUCUCAAUGUUAGUAUACACUUGUUAACGCAAAUUUUUAUCAUGAUAAUAUUUUGUAUGGCCCAGGCGGACUUUUUUGUUGCGUAAAUUUCCUAAUCAUAAGGUCAAAGGAUAUCGUCUACGGUCUAGUUAUAAUAUCGUUAAUGAGCAAACUCAACUGAGAUCUAAGUUCGAUUUGAAAUGUUCACUGAACACGUAGUUGCUUUCUAAUGAUUGAACCAAUUCUAUUCCACUAAAAACAUAGAAAAAUAUUCCUACAAGUGGACUUAUAAGUGGAGAAAUAAAGACCGAUGGGUAUAGUGUGACUUGGCGAACCACAUUGGAGCGUCGAUAAACGACGAUAACUCGGAGUAUGUGUAUAUUUGUAAUCGAAAAAAUGUGCAUACAAUAUGUUCAUCAUUACCACGACCACAUAUUGAUUCAGUCGACUGAAACCUCGCAUUUGGAGUCUAUUUUAUCAACGUUAGAUAAGGCAGUUUGCCUCAAACAAAAAGGCUAAAGAUCAUGUUUGCAUGUUAUCUCCUUACAGCUUAGGUCAUCCAUCCGUGCGUUAGUAUUCAUCGACCUUUGCGCGCACUGAUAUAUUUAUGUAAGAGCUGAUGUACAUGGUGCGUCAGUUUGCUGUCGGACUGAAAAUCCGAAAGGUCUAUCGUGCGUGGUCGGCUUUUCUUAUUUGUUUACACUAAUCAAUUUUAUUUUAUUGCAUAACUUGAAGUUAUUAUUUUAACGCUUGUUCGAAGUAAAUUAUAUUUUUUUCAUUUGCAUGCCAAGAAAUUAUUUAAAACCUUUUUUUACAACACACGUACCAAUCAUUCAUCGAUCAAUUUACAGCUGGUAUAAUAUAUUUGUUUUUUAUCACAACAGAUGAACAUAAAUGUUAUGGAUGAGAAUGAAAUAUCAACUACAUUUUCUGAAUCUGUUAACGUCUUACUUUGGCAGGAUUAGAGUGAAUUAAAAUGUCUAAUACUGUCAGGUAAUGAUGUCGUCAGAUACAUAUAAAUCUUCGAGGGAAUCACUAUUUUCAAAAUGUUUUGUUCCAGUAGAUGAUGUGUGAUACCUGCGAAUAAAAAAAAAUUUAGUUUUGUUUAUGUAAUUGAAAUGACAUAAUUUGAAUAGUUUUUAAUGAACAAAUGACUAUACAUUUGUUAAUAAAUUAUUAUGAAAUUUUGUUUUUAGUAUUAAAUUUUAUAUGUAUUUUAUUGCUUUCAAGAUUAAAAUUGAUAGAUAAAAUUUUUGUUAAAUUAAUUUAAUAUUCCUGUUACAUAAGAACUAGAUAUUCUACCAAAAAAUUUGUCUUGUCACUUUUAAACUUAUGCUGUACAAAUGUAUCGUGUCAUUGAUAUGAUUUUUAUGCCAUAAAAUAACAUACCUAAGUGAAUGUAUGAAGUGUAACAUUAUGAGAAUCUCUGAUCUUCCAAUGUCUUAAUCCAGGCAUGUCUGAUGAGGUAUAACCAAAGUCAUUUUUUAAUCAUCUCUUUGACGAUCUCUAAAUUUUAUGAAAUUAUGCCACUAUAUCUGUAUUUUUUAUAUUAUGUAAAAAUUUAUUUUGCUAGCGGUUUAAAAAUAUUAAAAACAAUUAUUACACUUUUUUUUGUAUUUAAACAUUUUUAGGAUAAUACAUGUUGAAAUUUUAUUAUAGUCAGUGGUGGAAUAAAUUUGGAGAUUUGUAAUUCCGUAGCUUUUUUGACGUAUUCAGAAAGUUUUUCGCAAAAAAUGAGUAUACAGUUGAAUUUUUACAAAAUUUACCUACACUUCUCACCAAAUAAUAAAUUGGUAAACAUUGUAUACCUUCCAAAUUUUUUAACUAAUUUCGUUACAAAUCAAAAAUGUGUAUAAUUUUAAAAAUA